rnacentral:rRNA from 1 species
UACGUAGGGUGCAAGCGUUUAAUCGGAAUUACUGGGCGUAAAGCGUGCGCAGGCGGUUCGCUAAGACCGAUGUGAAAUCCCCGGGCUUAACCUGGGAACUGCAUUGGUGACUGGCGGGCUAGAGUAUGGCAGAGGGGGGGUAGAAUUCCACGUGUAGCAGUGAAAUGCGUAGAGAUGUGGAGGAAUACCGAUGGCGAAGGCAGCCCCCUGGGCCAAUACUGACGCUCAUGCACGAAAGCGUGGGGAGCAAACAGG